rnacentral:rRNA from 1 species
GCGCAUGCCGCAUCCGGGAAAGCUCUCGCGGCGGGGGAUGGGGUAGCGGCCCAUCAGGUAGACGGCGGGGCAGAGGCCCACCGUGCCGACGACGGGUAGCCGGGUUGAGAGACCGACCGGCCACAUUGGGACUGAGAUACGGCCCAGACUCCUACGGGAGGCAGCAGUGGGGAAUUUUGCGCAAUGGGGGCAACCCUGACGCAGCAACGCCGCGUGCGGGACGAAGGCGUCCGCGUCGUAAACCGCUUUCAGCGGGGAACACCUAAACGAGGGUACCCGCAGAAGAAGCCCCGGCUAAAUACGUGCCAGCAGCCGCGGUAAUACGUAUGGGGCGAGCGUUAUCCGGAUUCAUUGGGCGUAAAGCGCGCGUAGGCGGAGCGCUAAGCGGGACCUCUAACCCGAGGGCUCAACCCCCGGCCGGGUCCCGAACUGGCGCUCUCGAGUGCGGUAGGGGAGAGCGGAAUUCCCGGUGUAGCGGUGGAAUGCGCAGAUAUCGGGAAGAACACCGACGGCGAAGGCAGCUCUCUGGGCCGAAACUGACGCUGAGGCGCGAAAGCUGGGGGAGCGAACAGGAUUAGAUACCCUGGUAGUCCCAGCCGUAAACGAAAGGCGCUAGGUGUGGGGGAUGAGAUCCCCCGUGCC